UUUCAUUAGACAUUUAAGAUAUAGAAAUUAAAUUAGACUGUGGUUUUGGGUCUCACUGUAUAGUCUACUCAACAGCUGGAAGAGAGAGUUUACAAUGUGAUAAUAGAGUCCAAAAUCAACACAAGUUAGAUGGGUGGUUUGGAUGACCUACUUAGUGUGAUUUCCACUGUUGUCUCGCCUGAAACGGCUAAAAGAAUCUUAUUACAACAAACACAUACACACACACACAAUGUAAUUACUGCAGGGAUUUGAGCAACGUUGACUGACUGCUCGACUCCACAGGCGGUGUGUUAAGUCACUGCGUUCUCACGUUCAACACUCAACGGGAGUGGUGCAAAUAAAGCUAAUUAGAUUCCAGUGAAUUACUGCUGUUGAAAUGCACAAACCGCCAGGGACUGAAAGUGAAAAAUUGCCAGUAUGAUACAUGAAAGCUGCAAUGUCAGUGCUGCAAAGCCAUUGUAUUACAGUAUCUUCAUUUUGUCCUUGAAGCGGUGCCCUCCAACCAGAAGUCAUCACAUUCUUUAAAGUAUUGCCGUCAUUAUCAAGGGGGAAAACCUUGGCUCUCUAUAUCAAGAUCCACAGAUGGCGCAAUCUCAAUUGUACUUUACACUGCCCUCUCCCACCUGGACAAGAGGGGAAAUAACUAUGUGAGAAUGCUUUUCAUAGACUACAGCUCAAGGUUCAACACUAUAGUUCCCUCCAAGCUAAUUACCAAGCUCAGGACCCUGGGACUGAACACCUCCAUCUUCAACUGGAUCCUGGACUUACUGACGGGCCAACCCCAGGUGGUUAGUGUAGGCAACAACACCUCCGCCUCGCUGACCUUCAACACGGGGGCUCCUCAGGCGUGCGUGCUUAGUUUCUUCCUGUACUACCUGUUCACACACGACUGCGUGGCCACGCACGACUCUAACACCAUCAUCAAGUUUGCUGAUGAUGGUGGUAGACAUGAUCGCCGACGGUGAUAAGAUGGCCUACAGGGAGGAGGGCAGAAACUUGGCAGUGUGGUGCCAGGACAACGACCUCUCCUUCAAUGUCAGUAAGACCAAGGAGCUGAUCGUGGACUGCAGGAGAAAGAGGGGAGAGCACUCCCCCAUCCGCAUCGACUGGGCUGUAAUGGAGUGGGACGAGAGCUUCUAGUUCCUCGGAUCCAGAUCACUAAGGACUUAACAUGCUUCACACACACCCUCAUAGUCAUGAAAAGGGCACAACAGCGCCUCUUACCCUUCAGGAGGCUGAAAAUAUUUGGCAUGGGCCCUCGGAUCCUCAAAAGUUCUACAGCUGCACCAUCGAGAGCAUAUUGACUGGCAAAUGCUCCGCCCUCGACUGUCGGUGGUGCAGAUGGCCCAGUACACACUGGGGCCGAGCUCCCUGCCAUCCAGGACCUCUAUAUCAGGUGGUGUAGAGAAGAAGGCCAGAAAUGUAUAGACUUCAGCCACCUGAUAGACUGAUCCCUCCCCCACCGUUCGGCAAAUGGUACCGGAGGAUUGGUUCUCGGACCAGCACGCUCCGAGACAGCUUCUAUCCCCAAUCAAUAAAAAUGCAAAAUAACC
rnacentral:lncRNA from 1 species